AACGAACGCUGGCGGCAGGCUUAACACAUGCAAGUCGAGCGCCCCGCAAGGGGAGCGGCGGACGGGUGAGUAACGCGUGGGAAUCUACCCAUCUCUACGGAAUAACGCAUGGAAACGUGUGCUAAUACCGUAUACGUCCUUCGGGAGAAAGACUUAUCGGAGAUGGACGAGCCCGCGUUGGAUUAGCUAGUUGGUGGGGUAAAGGCCUACCAAGGCGACGAUCCAUAGCUGGUCUGAGAGGAUGAUCAGCCACACUGGGACUGAGACACGGCCCAGACUCCUACGGGAGGCAGCAGUGGGGAAGAUGGGACAAUGGGCGCAAGCCUGAUCCAGCCAUGCCGCGUGAGUGAUGAAGGCCCUAGGGUUGUAAAGCUCUUUCACCGGUGAAGAUAAUGACGGUAACCGGAGAAGAAGCCCCGGCUAACUUCGUGCCAGCCGCCGCGGUAAGAC
rnacentral:rRNA from 1 species